GACGAAUGCUGGCGGCGGGCCUAACACAUGCAAGUCGAGCGGCAGCGCGAGUAGUUUACUACUUGGCGGCGAGCGGCGGACGGCUGAGUAACGCGUGGGAACGUGCCCCAAAGUGAGGAAUAACUGCCCGAAAGGGUGGCUAAUGCCGCAUAUGAUCUUCGGAUUAAAGGAUUUAUCCGCUUUGGGAGCGGCCCGCGUCGGAUUAGGUUGUUGGUGAGGUAAUGGCUCACCAAGCCGACGAUCCGUAGCUGGUCUGAGAGGAUGAUCCGCCACACUGGGACUGAGACACGGCCCAGACUCCUACGAGAGGCAGCAGUAGGGAAUUUUCCACAAUGGGCGAAAGCCUGAUGGAGCAACGCCGCGUGCAGGAUGAAGGCCUUCGGGUUGUAAACUGCUUUUAUAUGUGAAGAUUAUGACGGUAACAUAUGAAUAAGGAUCGGCUAACUCCGUGCCAGCCGCCGCGGUAAUAC
rnacentral:rRNA from 1 species